UACUAUUUAGACUUCAAAUAUCAU
rnacentral:siRNA from 1 species